rnacentral:rRNA from 1 species
UGGUGCCAGCAGCCGCGGUAAUUCCAGCUCCAAUAGCGUAUAUUAAAGUUGUUGCAGUUAAAAAGCUCGUAGUUGAACCUUGGGCCUGGCUGGCCGGUCCGCCUCACCGCGUGUACUGGUCCGGCCGGGCCUUUCCUUCUGGAGAUCCGCAUGCCCUUCACUGGGUGUGCUGGGGAACCAGGACUUUUACUUUGAGAAAAUUAGAGUGUUCAAAGCAGGCCUUUGCUCGAAUACGUUAGCAUGGAAUAAUAGAAUAGGACGUGCGGUCCUAUUUUGUUGGUUUCUAGAACCGCCGUAAUGAUUAAUAGGGAUAGUCGGGGGCGUCAGUAUUCAAUUGUCAGAGGUGAAAUUCUUGGAUCUAUUGAAGACUAACUACUGCGAAAGCAUUCGCCAAGGAUGUUUUCAUUAAUCAGUGAACGAAAGUUAGGGGAUCGAAGACGAUCAGAUACCGUCGUAGUCUUAACCGUAAACUAUGCCGACUAGGGAUCGGGCGAUGUUUCUAUAUUGACUCGCUCGGCACCUUACGAGAAAUCAUAAG